UAUAGUUUUCCGUAUUUCAAUUAAGGUUUAAGAGAUAAACCAUACUUUUUCGCGGCUUAUCUUAAGGAACACUCAAGAUAUGGUUUAAGCUGGUCAGGUGUGGUUUAUCUAUGAUAUUGAUUGAUAAACAAAAUUUAUAAUUUUAAUAAACAGUUAAAUAGUUAAACUUUAAACAGUUAAUAGACUGUAGUUUAUAUAGAAUAUAGUUGAAGGUACUACAACUCUAGUACGUAACUAAUAUAUUUUAUAAAAAAACGGCAUACAAUUAUGGAUUCUUCGUCAAGUUCAAGUGAUGAUGAAACUGUAAUUGCAUUUGUAAAUAGACUUGGUCAGCCAAGAAAACAACGCAUUUUUCGAAACCGAAUCGAUAAUUUUCUCGAGUGGGACGAGAACGAAUUUUUUAAUCGAUUUCGUUUCUAAACGAUGUGUAAAUAUUGUAUUGGACCUAAUCACAUUCAAAAUUCAAUCGUCUACUGACCGGAAUCAUGCAGUUAUACCAGCACAAAUGAUUUUAAUUACAAUACGUUUCCUUGCAUCUAGUGGUAUGUUAAUCACAGUAGGAGAUUUUACAGGAAUACAUAAAACAACGGCUGGAAAACAUAUAUGGAAGGUUUUACAAGCUAUAGCCGAAUUAAAAUCUACAUUUUUAACAUUUCCGAAUGAUCCAAUGACUAUUCAAAAUUAAAAAAAAAAUUUUUAUAAUAUUGCAAAAUUUCCCAAAGUUGUUGGUGCAUUGGAUUGUACGCAUGUAAAAAUACAGUCACCUGGUGGAUUAAACGCAGAAAUA